AGUAAACUUUCGCUUCUGCGAAAAUGGUCGCUGUUUUGACAAGCACGCAUUCUAGCCCUCACCAAAGAUGGCUGCAACAACUUCAGCAGCGGUUUCACUCAGGAGAGCGUAUUGUCAGGGUCAAACACCGCCUUACUGACUGAAGGUGUUGGGAAAGAUGUCGGCGCCCGUGCCGGAAGGAAAAGCGUCUUCGCGAGGCGUACCUGUGAGUGUCGGGCCGCAGUGGGAAAAGGCUCCGGCGGGUCCUUCUUCGAGGCUAGAUGUGGGUGCGGCGCGGAGGUCGCUGAAGAUUCGCAAUGCCUUCACAGCCCUCGGCAUCGGAGCCAUCGUCCUAGGCAUUUAUGGCUACACCUUUUAUUCUGUCUCCCAAGAGCGAUUCUUGGACGAGUUAGAACUGGAAACCAAAGUUGUGCGAGCCCAAGCAGCGAAGACUGCAGCAGACUGAGGGUGACGGAGCAUGAUACAGAAAUGGGCCAUCACAGUAGAUGCAUGGAGUUAUGACCAGAAUCUCUCCUCCUUGUGGAUGUCAUCUCUGGACAAACUGGCACAAUGCCUCAUUUAAGGGACCCAGACACUGCAUUUAUUGCUGAAACAUUUUACCAUGGCUAAUAUGUAAAUAUCUACUCAUUUGAGCUGUUCAAUGUGAUAAAUAAACCAGCUUAGUGGAAUAUGAUAAUGAGAAUGACUUUUUAGGGUAGCUCAGACAAAGGCUAAAGUCAUGUGGGGAAACUUAGGUAUUGUCAAAUCACAGCUUUAAAAGGCAAGGGGGGGAGCUUUAUGACUAUUAAACAUGUUGUUAUUAAACACCUCACUUCUGAGACAUAGAAAGCUUCAGGGAUUCCAAUACUGAUCUGACUUCAGUUUCUUUAGGAGGAUGGAGACUGGAGGAUACAGGAGACUGGUGGCAUUUCUGUCAUAUAAGGUUUAUUCAUACUGAGGGUCUAGGGCAUUACUUCUCCAACAGAUCCCUGCUCAGCUGUCUAGGGCUUACCUGCAAAGAAGCAAAAUCAGCUCUUUCUUCCCUCUUGGGUCCAGUUCAAGCACAGCCUAUCUACCUACUACACAUACAGAACUCACUUGCCGCCUCCUUUUGUCCUAGUACAAAAGUGAACAGCUGAUGGCUCUCCAGUUGGCCUACAUCUUCCAUAGUUGAACUGGAAGUGUUGAAAGGGGCCAUUUAAGACAUUGAGUCCAACCCUCUGCUCAGUGGAGGAAUCCAAUUUAAAACAACCUGACAGGUGGCUGUCUGGUGUCCACUCAUCUCCUUCAAUGGAGAGUUCACUAACACUUUGGCAGUUGGUUGCAUUGUCUGACUGCUCUAUUUGGAAGUUUUUCCUGGUGUUUCACCAAAAUCAGCCUUCCUGCAAUUUAAACCUUUCUUUUUUACAAUCUUGAAUAGUGACAGAACAGGCUUCAGCCUUAUUCUGUGUGACAACCUUUAUGUACUUGAAAAGUGCUAUCAUAUUUCCGUCACAGUCUUCUUAAAAGUAAACAUCCUCAGUUCCUUCAAUUUUUUUGGUAGGAACUAAAUUUGUAUUCCCCUGUUCAUUUUUAUUACCCUUUUCUGAACUUGGUCAGAUUUAUCUGAAUAAAUAAAGUCCAGUGACCAGAACAUAGCACUGGCUUUUUUGGUGAGGUCUGAUAGGGACUGUAGGCCAAAACUCCUAGAGAACCGCUUGUUACCCAUCCUUGGUUAGCAAAAAAAGUUUAGCAGUUGAAGAGGCAUCAAGUUGUAAUGGAUAACUUAAAUAUAAGAUAGACUGAUCCAAAACAUAACAAUAUUUUACAUCUGAAAGGAAAAUAGUAGAGUUGCAGGAUGUCUUCUCAAAUAGUAAAGAUGACCCGCAUUUAUUGUUGGCUCUUCAUAUGUUAUUUACUAAAGUUUCUGUCACUGCCACUAUCAUUGUAGCUAAAUGUGUACAUAUAACAGAAACAUAGAAACAGAACAAGUCAGAAGGGGUCUGACUCCCAGCUCCAGCUGGCUCCACUCAUGACAUGCCUACCUUCAGAGUAGUCUCCUCUCAAGUUAGGAGUCUACAAUGCUUUUAACUGUAUGUCAUUUUUUAUGAAAUUGGAAAGCUAGCUGCUGACUCAGUCCUGAGCAGAGACUGCUGAUGCAGAGACUGUUCUAGGCUGCAACAUAAGAACCUUGUUGAACUAGACUGAAGGCCUAUUUAGUGUGGCAUUCAGGGCUAUAUUGAUGAUUCUGGGAAGUCCACAAAUGACAUCAAUAGCCCUUGAAAGUCUUAUCUUUUCCAAUCCCCUUUGAAAGCCACCUGUGUUAGCAACCAUCACUACAUCUUGUGGUAGUGAAUUCUAUAACAAUGCAUCUGAAGAAGUGCUUCUAUUUUUCUGUCUGAAUUUACUACAAUUCAGCUUUACAGGAUAACCCUGGGUUCUAGUAUUAAGAGGAAAAGUCUCUGUAUUUACUUUCUUCAGACUAUACAUGAUUUUAAACACUUCUAUCUUCUUUUACUUGCUUUCAUUAAGCUGGAAAAUCCCUAAACCAGGAACAGGGAAUCUCUUUUGGUCCAGGGUUAGGAUUCUCCCUAAUACUCUCACCAUUACUACCUAUUUUUCCUUUCUUUGUGCAGAGAGAGGCAUGGAGAAAGCAACUCUGCUGGUGUUAACUAAGUCUGGUUUCUUUGGUACCACACUCAUUCUGGUGAGCAGUGCACAAAAGCUGAAAACUUGCUUGGCAUUUAGAGGAGCUUCUGCUAGCACUGGUUAAGUAAAAGGAAUCCCCCUCUUUAAUCAUGAAUAAUGAAAGUAUUCCUCUCCCAACUUUUACUCCAUGCCUCCCCAGUAAGCUCCAGGCCAGGGGACAGGAAGGAGCUGUGGAGGGAAUUCAAGUCUCCAUGAGCUGGAGUUGGAAUGUCUAAGGAAAUUCAUUAUCCAUACUGUAUACAUUUCAUUUAUUUACUUACUUACUUACUUACUUACUUACUUACUUACUUACUUACUUACUUACUUGGGUAUUUUUUACCCUGUCCAAUACGUUGCUGGUCUCGGGAUGGCUUACAAGUCAAAAUCCAAUAAAUACAUAUAUACCCAAAUAAUACAGAAGACUCCAUGACUGAACAUAAAACAUAGUUAAAAUAUUAAACAUUAAAAUUAUGGAAGAAUAAAAAGGUCUUGACUUGGUGUCCAAAAGCAUAUAACAUCGGCGCCAGGAGGACCUCUCUGGGGAGUGCAUUCCAUAGCCAGGGUGCCACCGCAGAGAAGGCCCUCCUCCGAUUAUGUUCUCUCCUAACCUACUUCAAGGAGGGCUCCCGGAGCAGGGCCUCAGCUGCACAUCUUAAGGGACAGGUGGGCAUGUAGGGAAAAAGAUGUUCCUUUAGGUAUCCUGGUCCCAAGCCGUUUAGGGCUUUAUAGGUCAAUGCCAGCACCUUAAAUUGGGCCUGGGCUUCAACUGGAAGUCAGUGAAGCUGAUAGAGGACCGGUGUUAUAUGAGAAUAACGACUGGCCCCCAUCAGCAAACUGGCGGCUCUGUUCUGAACCAAUUGAAGUAUCCAGACCAUUUUUAAGGGCAGCCCCAUUUAGAGCGCGUUACAAUAGUCCAGCCGGGAAGUUACCAGACUGUGUGUCACCAUUGUUAGGCAGUGAUCAUCCAGGUAAGGAUGUAGCUGAUGGAUCAGCCGAAGCUGAAAUAAAGCGCUCCUCACCACCGCCGCCACUUGGGCCUCCAAGGACAGCUCCGGGUCGAACCCAUUGUAUAGAACCCUUUUCCUUAUAGGGCACUUGCACCAGCCUCUUGAUAAUUUCUGUGCCAUUUCUUACACAGUUUCCAAUUCUACAGUAUUGUUUUUGAGAUGUAGUGAUCAGAACUGUGCACAAUACUCUAAGUAUAAUUGCACCAUACACUUGCAUAAAGUCAU
rnacentral:lncRNA from 1 species